GGCGGGGCUGCGCGCCUCAACGGCCGCGCAGCCGUCCCGCGUGAGGCCCCCAACGGCCACUUGCGCGCUGCUUGAGGCCGCUCAACGGCCGGCGCCCUCCGAGGGCCUCCCCUCAGUGGCCGGGCGCCCCUCAGCGCUAGACCCCGCUCUUGCCUCCUGCCCUGUGGGCUCCGCGUCGUCUCCGCUGGCCCCCGUGUGUGUGCAUCUGCCUGGAGGAGCUGGCGGCCAUCGGUCGUGGUGCGUUGCCCUCUGGCCUCCGCCUCGUGCCCUUCUGACCUGCCGCCCAGUGCCGUGGCACUGCCAGUGGGCACAGAGCCAGCUGCGGCCCCUCAGGGUGAGCGCUGUGGCGGUGGCCGUCCUCCGGUGGGCACCCAGGGCGGUGGAGAAGGUCAGGUGUGCUGCGAGGGGGCAGCUGGGCUCCUCAGUGCUCUGUGUGCUGCCCAGUAAGAGUCUGCUGCUGUUACAAGACAACCCUGAGAAGCUCAGAAAGAAUGUUUGAAGGUACAUCAUCCUCUUUUCGGCUAUGUCACUCUGCAAGUUUGGAGAAAAACUUCCUACUUACUAUGUGUCCAGAACACUUCGCUUGCAAAAUGUUGAAGCCUCAUCCAUUUAGUGAAAUAUUGUAGAGUGGAGUCUGCAGGAGUUUAAGAGAAGGAAGCCAUAUAUGGAUGCUGGCAGUGAAGGAGAGAGGCAAGAUGAGAUGCGGUAAAGAGAAUAGAUAUGGAUAAAACAGGAGUCUGGGCAGGAAGGAAACAUUUGCUGUUAUUUUUGGAAAUAAUGGAGCCACAACAGUUGGGAAUAGUGGUGGAGAGAGCACCUCAGCUGAGACAUUUCAACAUCAUUUGUACAGGGAGGCUUUGACAAUGGGA